UUUUAAUUCUUUUUGGAUGAGAAUAUUUUGGCUGAGAUGGAUAGUCUCAAAAGCCUUGAAUUUAGUCCCUUUUAUAUAGUAGGAUUGAUGAGGCAGUAAAUUAAAAAAAAAAUGUAUGCAUUUUUUUUCUUCCAAAAAACGUUUUACGAGUUAAAAACAAUGGAAACCGAAUCAGUGCUUUGAACAUGUCAAACCAAAAUCAAAUAUUAAAAACGACAGGUUUUUUUUCCGACUUCAAUUAAAUACAAAAUUUAAAAGAAUCAAUCGUUAGAUGCCUAAAGAAUAAAUUUCAGAGAUGAAACCAAUAAAAUAUACAGAACCAACUUCCCUUUUCCGGUUCUAGCAGUGACUUGAGAAAAUUGUAAUCACCUCUUCCUCGAAAAUCUUAACAGAGAUUUUUGUUAGAAAAUAAUUAGAUUAAUGUUAUAAAUCAAUUGUUGGAUAUCCAUAACCGGCCUAAACCCUAGAGAGAGACGGUCUAAACCUUUGAGAGAGAGGCGGCGGCCACGGCAUGGAGAGAGAGGGAAAGUCGGCUAGAAACUUUCCAUUCUUCUAGUUUUCCUAUUUCAUCUAUGAUUAUGAUUUGUAAUCUUUUCAUUUAUGUAUUUCCAUUUAUCUCUCAUGUAACCCUUAUAUAAAGGGAACACUUAUUCAUUAAUGAAAUACACAGAAAUAUUCAGAUAUAAAACCUUCGUUUUACAACACGUUAUCAGCACGAUAACCUCUAACACCCUGAGUCUAAAGCCAAACCCCUAAAACCCUAAACGAAAAGGAAUCUACCUCGGAACUUCAAAGGGGUCGUUCUCCCAAACCGUGAGAACCCAGAAAACGAUCAAGAUAUCAAAUCGAAGCUCUUGCCAAGACGAAUCAGACAGUGCAAACCGUUUGUCGAUCUGACCACCGACGCGCUCUCACGCUCCGAUACAGUGCGCACCGAUUUGCUUUGGAACCCUAAUCUGAACCCGACGACCCUAAUCCGUUCUUGCUCGCGUCCCAGCUCGUCAGCAUCCGAUCAACUCCAGCCCUAAGGUGUUCCUGAUCCAAGACGACCUCAGCUUCCCGCUCGCAUCACAGCCAGCUCGCGAACCCGAUUGGAAGCAGACGCAUCCCGUUCCAGCUCGCAUCCGACGACGAUCCGAUAGCAACCAGCUCACGUCCGUCCGUGUGCAUCUCGAGGUUCAUCCGUUCAUCUUGGUGGUCCGGUUUCAACAACCUGCAAACAAAAAGGUAAUCCUAAUUCUAAGAACAUGAGAAUUGAAUUUGGAUUGUUUGUAAAGAUUGAAACCCUAAAAUCUAAUCCUUAAGAUGAAAGCCAUAGGAUAAUAGAUCAAACCCUAAAGAGUAAAUCGGAGCUCGAAUAAGUCCGAUCCCCUAAACACUAAAUCGAGAUUGAUCCAUUGAUCAAUUAAAAUCAUAAUCUUAAAGGUUUUUGAAUCUCAAAUCAAAUCCCUUUGAUCAAAGAUCAAAGUUUUCGAAAUCCCCUAAACCCUAAUUUGGAAAAUUAGUUUUAAUUUUUGAUUUGAAACUUGAGUGUUUGAUUGAUCGCCUAGAACUAUGAUUAGGAUUGUUUUAAACUUGAAUCUGAAUUGCUUAUCUUGUUUAAACUGAAACCCUAAUAACCUAGAAACCGAAUUUGGAGUUGUGGCCGUGUGGCCUUUAUACAUUCUAGCUUAAUUGUUCUAGAUCAUAUCCUGUGGCCGUGUUGCAUUCAUAUCUGAACCUGAUCACUACUGGUUGAUUGCAAUUGAACUUAGAAUCUAAUGUUAGGAUUGUAUUGAAACUAAAAUCAAGUGGCCGCAUGAUUUGUUCUUUACUUGGCCAUGUGUGUUUGUCUGUUUGAUUGCAUUGUAUGAACUUAUAGAAUUCAUCUAUACUAGGAUUGCAAUUACACAACAAACUAUAUGCAUUGAUCUGAAUCAUUAGCCGUGAGGCUUGUUUUCUUAUUUUGGCCGUGUGGCUUCUACGUGGCCGAGAGGCAUAAAAAUCUUAGCCAUAAGGCUUGCUUGCUUGAUUGAUUCUAUUAAUUAUGAGUUAAGUCUGCUAGAUUAAUUGCCUAUUGAAUCUGAAACCCUAAAUACCGAAUUUGAAUCUCUAAGGGCCUUGAAACCCUAAAUUGCAUGAUAUUGAUCCAAAUUGAGUUUACGUCCAUCAUGAUAAACCAUACGGCUGUAACCAUGAUGGAUGGAAAGGACGUGGACAUAGCCAAACCACCUUAUACAACCAUGGACAUGGGAAUCACUAUAACCGUGGUUGUGGACCCAGUUUUGGCCAUGGUUAAGGGAGAGGAGGUCGGCAUUUCUAAGCCACCACAUUCAACCAAGUCAGUGUGCCAUAAGAUGUGUAAUGGGGAAUCAUUAGGCUAAAACAUCUGAUUGUCUAAAAGAAAUGUUGAUUUCAACUUCUGUGUUUGCUUUGCUUUAUGUUGUGAUUUUCUUGAAUUAAGAACUUAUAUUAUAAGAUGAAUGAAUGAUUUUACAUAUGACUAUGAAAACGCCAAUAUAUAAGGCAAUGGUGCGGGUAUAGUAGCCUAGUAAGAAAUCUAUGGCCAAGGCAUUGCCUAAAGGGCAUUAUAUACACCCAAUAAUGUGUGACCCAUUGAGUUAUAAUAAAAUGGUUUCCGAAUAGAAACAAUGGGCAAAAGGAAACAAAAGUUCCUUCAGAUUUAAGAAAGAAAAUCGCCUAAGGCCUUAUAAGAAAGUGGUCAAGACUAUACCUGCAUACUCUACUGAUCUAAACUAUGCUAAAGAUCAGUAUGAUAAGAGGCAAGAGCCAUGGUAACCAAAUUGGUAUACACCACAACAUUAUACACUUUUAUGGCACGACUGGAUUAGCCAUCCUAGUCUAAACUUGAUGUAAAAGACUGAUAUUGCAAGAGGCACAUAGAGUUAUCCCAUAAAGAUCUCACGUUGUGUAACAUGUACACAAGAGGGAAACUCAUUAGGCUUUAUUGUCCUAAGCAUCACGAAAUUAUAGUAUGUUCAUGAGGGGGAGAGAGGAUAAACCCGUGAUCCAUGAUCACACAUGAUCAAUACUACAAAUUCGUGUAUUACUAUGGUCUAUGACCAUACUAUGAACGGCUCGGCCACAAAGGCCAUUACCUACAAAGGUUCGGCCUCUAUAAAGCUUAGGGACAUCAUGAAUUACAUGUAUAUAAAGUUAAGAUGCAUCAUGCUAUAUAAGUGAGCAUAGAUAUUCCCAUCUCAGAUUGAAUACGGGUCAUAACUAGACAUACACCAUCUUAAGAGACUUUGAAUAAACCACCACAUACAUAUGUGCCGUCUAAGAUGGAACCUCAGAAGAGGAUUGAGAAUAUAUGUUGGAUAUGAGCAUGUCUUUCUUCCACGAGUUUUAAAGAGACUUUGAGCCAAACAUGGGUGAUCAGAUUGAGGCCAGGUACACGGAUUGCAUGAUCAAAUGAAUCCGUCUAUCCAACAUUAAAAGGAGAAAGUUAUAAGCUGGUAAAGAAUGAUAAAGAUCAAAAGAAUGAUAAGAGAAAUAGAAUGGUAUCAACCAUCAUUGUCUUGGCAAGAUCCUCGGACUAAAAUAAUGAUUUAAGACGUCCAAAGAAAAGAGAGAUUAUACAAAGCUAGCUAAUCUAGAUGCCAGACACUGACCCAAAAAGAAAAGAAAAGAAUGACUAAGUCAUAACCAGCUUAGCACCAAACGAAAUCUGAUGUCCUAGAGACACAGUCAAGUUGCUACAGAAUCUAUACAAGAUAGACCAAAGUGUUCCAUAAGAUAAGGAACCUCGGAAAGAAAAGGUGCAUAGAAUACAGAUCCGAGGUCAUAAUAGAAACCAUACCAGACAUUGAGAAAAGGCUGCGCAGCUAAACAUCUAAGGUACCAAACCAUGUAGCUUGGGGUCCCAAGCUACUAGGUAACAAAGGUCCUGGAUAAUGAAAUCUCAAAUCGAUUAGAUCAUGUCUGGAACAAAAUGGAACCACACAUAUAUAUAAGUGUCGACACAUAAAAUAUAUAUUUGUAUAA